rnacentral:rRNA from 1 species
AUUGAACGCUGGCGGCAGGCCUUACACUUGCAAGUCGAGCGAGCGGCGGACGGGUGAGUAAUGUCUGGGAAACUGCCUGAUGGAGGGGGAUAACUACUGGAAACGGUAGCUAAUACCGCAUACCAUCAGAUGUGCCCAGAUGGGAUUAGCUAGUAGGUGGGGUAACGGCUCACCUAGGCGACGAUCCCUAGCUGGUCUGAGAGGUUGGCCAGCCACAGUGGAACUGAGACACGGUCCAGACUCCUACGGGAGGCAGCAGUGGGGAAUAUUGCACAAUGGGCGCAAGCCUGAUGCAGCCAUGCCGCGUGUGUGAAGAAGGCCUUCGGGUUGUAAAGCACUUUCAGCGGGGAGGCGUUACCCGCAGAAGAAGCACCGGCUAACUCCGAGAAAGCAGCCGCGGUAAUUC